rnacentral:lncRNA from 1 species
CUCCAUCCAAUGUUAGAUAAAAGGAACACGCAAGGAGCAUUGGAAAACAUCAACCUUUAAGGAGUAGGUAGACAUGAUCGCCAAGGCAGCUGAUUGUCCCAAGGAAUAAGUAUGAGCAAUGAGCACAGAGGGAAAAUCAUGAAACAUCUGAGGACCAUGAGAACUGCUAAAACAAUACGUAGAACUAGCUAUACCAGAGAAAGUCAAGUGAAUGGAUCAGACAAUAAGAAUUGAAAAUAAGCUUAAUAGAGCUUCAGAGAAAGAAGGGAGAAUGUUGGAAACACAAAGCACAAACAAGCAUUUGUGAAUUGGAUGUUGACAAAUAUUAAUGAAAUAACUCAAUGGAUGGGUUGAAUAUAGCUGGACAGUUCACUCAUGAACCGGAAGAUUAGAGCAAGGAAGGAACUAAGAAAUGGAAAGCAUGAAAGGAGAGUUAAGAAAUGUGGAAGGUAGAAGCAUAAAUAUUUUUCUAAUGGAAAUUCCAGAAGGGGAAAAAAAGAACAUGUGAAAGAAUUAUUGCUGAGAAUUUCCCAGAAUUGAAGACAUACUUUAGAAUGAAAAAGGCCAACUCUAACUUUGGGAUUUCUAGCUUCAGAGAAAUGAAAAUUUAGAAUGACCAAGGGGAGUGCACAGGAUUUUUUGGGCAGUGAAACUAUUCUGCAUGAUACUAUAAUGGUGGAUGCAUGCUAUUACACAUUUGUCAAAACCCAUUGAAUGUACAUCACUGAGAAUGAAGCCUAAUGUAUGCACUUUGGAUGAUUAUGAUGUGUCAAUGUAGGUUCAUCAGUUCUAACAAGUAGAACAUGCUGGUGCAGGAUGUUGAUAGGGAGGCUGUGCAUAUAUGGGGGAGGGGAUGAAAGGAACUGUGUACUUUCUGCUCGUUUUUGCUGUGCACCUAAAAUUGUUCUGAAAAAAAUCAAGUCUAUUAAGAAAACAAAGACAGUUUUUUAAAGCAUAAGAGCAUACUUGUUAUAAAAAUACAUGUAAUGCAGUGUAAUUUUAGAAUUCAAGGUCACAUAUUUCUGUAACACUUUUAUUCUUUCAUGCCUACAACUUUCAUGGAAUGGUCCAGUCAAAUAGGUUCCACAUAAUAGGAACCUUCAGUAAUACACCACUCACAUGUAGCAGAAGGACUUUAAAACAGUAUAUUCCCAACUCUUCUAUUCAUUGUGCCAAUGUUGCCAUAUAUUUCACUUUUACAAAUGCUGUAAACAUACAAUACUUGUGCUAUUUUUGCUUUCGAUAGUUGCCUUUUACAGCAGUUAAAAAAAAAAAAAAAGCCAGUUGCAGUGACUCACGCCUGUAAUUCCAACACUUUGUGAGGCUGAGGCAGGAGAAUUGCUUGAGCUCAGGAGUUCAAGACCAGACUGGGAAACAUAGUGAGACCUUGUCUCUACAAAAAAUAAAAUGCCAGGCAUGGUGGCACUCAUCUAUAGUCCCAAUACUCGAGAGCUGAGGUGGGAGGAUUGAGCCUGUGAGAUAGACUAGGCUGCAGUGAGCCAAGAUCAUACCACUGCACUCCAGCCUGAGCAACAGAGUUGAGUGCUCUGCCAGUCCACACCAGCCUUCGUGAAUUCCGCAAUUCUUCUAGCUAAACAUAUACCAGUAUCUGGUUGUGUCUGUCCCAAGUAAGCUAGUGCCCUUCUCUUCCUGCAGGCAUCUGUUGCUUCUUAGAUUUUGGACCAGUUUUUUGUCCUGGGAACUCAACUCUUCGAUAAAUUCAAAAAUACUCUGUAAUUUGAAGGAAGUUUACCUUUUUUUUCAUUGUAAGGGUGGAAGAAAUGUCUCUUCUGGAUGUUUAUAUCCAAAACAAGCUGGAAAUCAGCCCUGGCUAACUUUUUUUUUUUUUUUGAGACGGAAUCUCACCCUGUCGCCCAGGCUGGAGUGCAGUGGCACAGUCUCGACUCACUGCAACCUCUACCUCCCAGGUUUAAGCGAUUCUCCCACCUCAGCCUCCCGGGUAGCUGGGACUACAGGCGUGCGCCACCACGCCCAGCUAUUCUUUUGUAUUUUUAGUAGAGAUGGGUUUUCACCAGGAUGGUCUCAAUCUCUUGACCUUGUGAUCUGCCUGCAUUGGCCUCCCAAAAUGCUGGGAUUACAGGCUUGAGCCACCAUGCCCAGCCAGAGCAUCUAAUAUUUACUGAGUACUGAACAUUUACUAAAUACUUGACAUAAUGUUUUUUAAAUCCCCCAAAAGUCAUAUUCUUACAUCAUAAAUAAGGAAAAUUUCAGAUUGAAAGGAUUCAAAGAGGGUUAAACGAGAUCACAAAAAAAAGCCACAGCUGGGUACAUUACUGUGAAAUUAAACAUCAUCAGAGAGAAACAAUAGAUAUAGAUCUUUUCAGCUUAUCUAUUUCUUACUAAAAAAGAGUAAGUUUUGUAGUUUAUGCCUUUCAGAGAAUUUCUCUAUUUUGUCUCCAUUGUCAAAUUUAUUGUCAUAAAAUUGUUCAUAAUUUUUUUUUUGAGAUGGAGUCUGGCUCCGUCGCCCAGGCUGGAGUGCAGUGGCAUGAUCUCAGCUUGCUACACAACCUCCACCUCCCAGGUUCAAGGAAUUCUUGUGCCUCAGCCUCCGGAGUAGCUGGGAUUACAGGCGCCUGCCACCACACCUGGCUAAUUUUUGUAUUUUUAGUAGAGACAGAGUUUCAC